CUGAUAACGAAUCUCCAGUUGUAAAAAAACGCCGAAUUGAUCGAAAUAUUUCAUUAGUAGACACUGAUAGUGAUGAAAGUAUGUCAUCUGAUGAUAUACAAGAAGAAACUGUGCAAUUGAGUCAGAUGAGUAUUUCUACGACCGAAACAGGUGAUAUUCCUGAUACUAAUGUUAAUAAUAAGAAUGUGGAGAGUGACGAUGAAGAUAAUGAGACGGACACCGACGACAAUGAAGAUGAGAACAACGAAAACGAUAAGAAUAAUUAUCGUAGUCUUGAUGAUCAAACUUGUAAUAACGACGAUGCACGUUAGUCAACUUUAGGACAAAAUUCAGCUGAUAAAAACUCAAAUGACUGUACUAAUGACUGUGAAAUACUAGAUGAUAGGGAGAAACUAUUGAUUGCUGUGGAAAAAUUAGCUUGCUUAGACGGCAAGUACUUUGAAGUUAUAAUAGAUCAGUCAAGUUUAACUGGAAAAGUUAUUGCGAAUUGCAAACUUUGUGACCCACCAAAACCAUUUAAAGGAUCAUUGAGAUCAACAUCAAAUUUUACCAGUCAUUUAAAGAGGUGCCAUAAAAAUGAUUAUGUUGAAUACAUGAAAUAUUCAGAACAAAAGCGAAAAGGCUCAGAUCCAACUUCAAUCAUCGAUCGUAAACGGUGGUCAUGUGUCUUCAAUCAAAAACAAAUUGAGCGAAAUGUGGCAAACUUUAUGUUAAGGUUUAUGAUUCCGUUCAGAGCAGUGGAAGAUCCAACUUUACGUAAAAUUUUUGACGAUUUACAAAUUAAAAAAAAAGAUUGUCAACUGCAACAUUUAACCCGCUAUUCUUUAUUAAAGCAAGUGGACAAAAUUUUCAAGAAAUCUUUCGAUUACGUGCGUAAAGAAAUACUUCUAAUUAUUGGAAGAAGAGGAUAUGUGUGUACAACUGCAGACGUUUGGACCGGAGGAUCACGUUGAUUUCUUGGAGUAACAGCUAGCUGGAUUCAUCCUGAUCCAUUAGAGCGUAAAUCUGCAGCAAUUGCAUGCAGACGAUUUUAUGGAACUCAUUCAUUUGAUGCAAUUGCAAAUCACUUAUCCGAAAUCCAUUGUUCGUUUGGUUUAACACCCCAAUCCAUUCGAGCUACAAUAACUGAUAAUGAAUCCAAUUUUAUUAAAGCAUUUAAAGAGUUUGGAGUUGAGGCCUUAAAUGAUACUUUUGCAGGUAGAGAUCCUAGUUCUUCCUAGCUAAAUUCCGAAGUUCAUAAUAUCUAAAUUAAUAAUUCGCGACUGGAAAUAUUUAUAAAACAAUUGACCCACCAGGCCACUCAAAACAUCCUGCUAUUUUCGAGUUCAUAACACUCAUUCAGUUGUUCAGGAUAUUCAUUCACAAUUAACUCAGUAUCUACAGCUGAAAAAUGAAGUUAAACAACACAUUUUUUAGAUCUUCGAGCUCGAAAAUAUUGCAAAUACUUGAAAAAUUCCAGAAUUAAAAAAAAAUACAUUCAUUAAAAUUUUCGAGUUGCAAUAUUUUCCAAACAAAUCAGCUGAUUUUGAUACACUUUGUGGACUUAAUGUAGUUCCCCAAGUACAGAGAGAAAUGACGAGAAUUAUUAAAUCGGUCUGACGUUAACUUUGGUAGUUACUUUGAAAAACAUAUUAUUUAAAAAUUUUUGAACUUUAAUAUUCACGGACGAUUUUAAUCAAUACGGUAAUUUGGAAGUUUUAUUAUAUUCUUUCAAUCAUUGAUAAAAUACUUUUUAAGUUACUAAAUGUUGAAUAUAAAGGUUCCAUUUUUUUUAAAUUGAGAAAUAUUUUCAAAAUCUCGAAUCAGUUCUCUUCAGUACUUGAUUACAGUUUAAAGGAAAUGAACUGGAUUUCUACUAGACAAAAUAAUCGAUUAAAACUCUCGAGAGGUAAGGUCAAUGAAUAACCAUAGAAGCUUGAAUACUAGUAAACUAGAAGCUGAUAGAUAGAAUCGAUGGCUUGCGACCGAUCUCCACAUUUUUGCGAGGUUGUCCUUUGCUAUCAAUGAAUUUCAUUCGCUUGAUAUCAACAUCUUUGAUUAUACUUGAACAAACACUAACAGUAACCAGCGCACUAAUAUUCACGUUUGUUGGGUUAAAUUGAACUGAUUUAUCGAGACAGUAACAAUAUUGUUGCUUGGAAAAGAAAAAACGCUUCAUCUUUUACUCUAAGUUUCUACUGGGCAAAAUAGCCGAUUGAAAUGCUGAAUAUCUAUGAAAAAUUCUCGAAAAAUACGGUCUGGAUAAAUUUAGAAUUUAAAAAAAAUUUAUUUAAAAUGUCAGUUGUUAUUGCUAUUCUAAAUGUGAAUUUACUAUACCUUAAUACCAUGUGCCUACGUAAUGACUGAUUUAUAUUUUUCAUUUUCCGAUUUAAGUAAAAACCCGUUCGAAGAUAUAGAUGUGGAAAUUGAUCUUGGUACCUACGAUACAGACUUUGAUUCUGUCGAUGAAAAUAUUGCCACGAAUGAUGAGUUUUCUAAUGAAUGUGAAAAUCAAUUACCACGCCAUUUUAGAUGUGCUAGUCACACAUUGAAUUUGAUUGCUACAACGGACAGCUUGAAGGCUAUUAAAGAAUCCAAAAAUUUAAACAAGAAAUAUUUUAAUGUAAUCGGGAAAUGUUUAUCUCUGUGGAAAUUUUUACGUUCUCCUAAAGUGUAUGAAAGUCUGAAAGAUCACUUAGGUAUUUCACUUAAACGACCUGUUGUCACUCGUUGAAAUUCAACCUAUGAUUGCAUAAAUCAGCUAUUAACAGUUGAAGAGAAGCUUUUAGACAACAGUAAGCUGAAAUUGAAGAAAGCUUUCAAGUCCGUGGAUUUAAAGUUUCUGAAAGAAUUCGUGCGUUGCUCAAAACUUUUGGCAUGUGCAAUAGAUCGUUUACGAGCGGACAAAUCAUAUUACGCUGUUCUUCUCCUACGUUAAUUUCUUUGAAAUACGAAAUGAGAAAUUUGAUAGAAGAUGAGACUUUCAUUGAUUGCAAGCCACUUGCUCAGGCUAUAAUCCAUCAAGUGGAUCAGCGAUUUACAAAACUAUUUGACCCUUCUCAACCUGAUAUAGAUGCGUUCAUAGCUGCUCUUUCUCAUCCCCGGUUUAAAGGCCGCUGGUUAACGUCUUUCACCGAAAUAGAACAGAAAAAAAUUCAUCAGCGAUUCUCAGAAGUGGUUUCUGCGGAAGGCAGUGUAGAGUCAGCAACUAUAACUAAUAGAGAUAUGAUCGACGAAUUUAAUUUUGGAGAGCCUACAUUUGCGAUUCCUGAGUUUCAACUGUUAUUAUCACAAAGUGAGACUGCAGCAGAAGUGGCACGUUACUUAAAGAGCACAGAGACUGACUUAAAACUGUUAGAAAAAUUUCCAGCAAUUCGUAAAUUUUUUCUGAAGUUCAAUACACCAUUGCCUUCAUCUGCUCCUGUAGAAAGACUAUUCAGCCACGUGACGAUGAUGAAUUUGCCGAGGUACAAUCGUCUUAGUGACAAGCAUUUUGAGCAGAGAGUGCUCUGUAAGGUUAAUGCGGCAAACUCUUACUGUUAAUUUAUAAUACAUACUUUUAUCUACAAUGUUCAUUAUGUUUAUUUUAUUUUUACUUAUUUGUUUUGUUAAUAAAUCUUCAGAUCAAUUGAUAUUCAAAUACAUUCUUCAGCAGUCAGUACACAAAGUUUAUUUCAUUUAUAAGAUAUUUUAUACUUACAGAUAACUAAGCUUUCUUAUAAGAAAUAUAUAUAUGGGUCAUUCCACCAAAUAAAAUUAUUUUUACGGGGCGACCCUCGUCGA